rnacentral:misc_RNA from 1 species
AAAUCUUUAUGCCUUUGUGAAUACGCAACAAUAGGUUUUAUGGUUAGUGGUAUCAGUGAACCUACGCAAUAAAAUUGUGGAUGGCGAGGAUAGAAUAGCUUAUCAGUCAAAUUACUAGAUCACAGGAAGCCUUCUUUAGAUAUAAGGUAAGAUAUCUUAUGUGAUUAGUGGGGAGACCCAUGUGAUUGCUUCCUUUGGGUAGGGUAUAUUGCUUUGCCAUUAGUACAGAUAAUUAUUAAUGUUGUUGUGCCCUUUCAUGGAUUUGACCAUUUUUAUUUCUCAUCUUACCAAAUAUGGGGUUGGUCAUGCAUGUAAUUGUAUAGGAGUUUAAUUUUCAACAUGGAAACUCUGGUAUGGUGAUCAAUCUCUAUAUUUAUUGGCCCAAAGAGCUGAAUAAUUUUAUAUUGGGGGCAAAAUAGAAAUGGAGAAAAAAUCAUGACUGGGGACUUUAGAUGUUGUACCUAAAUUAUGACCUGUGAGCUUGUUAAAAUUUGAUAUACUUUGUGGCUCUGCUGCAAUAAUUCUGAAAACAUGAAAAACUUGGCAUUUUGUUUAUUUUUGAGAUUCCUGUAUAUUGCAAUUGUGGCUGGUGUUUGUGUUUCUUCACUUUCUUCCAUAUGAUGUUCAUGUAUUUAAAAGAAGUUUUCAAAUGAAGUCUUGGUUUUCAAAAUAUUUAGGCUAAGAUUGAGUCUUGAGUUUGAUUUUGCACCUGCAACUUGAAAGCUUGUCCCCAUGUGCAAUCUGUGGCUGAGGUGGAUUAGUUCCAUUAUUCAAUCCUUACCUCUCUGGCAGUUAAUAUUAGUUAAUCUUUUGGGCAAUUGUUUAUUAUUUCUUUAAUAUUAAACAAUGCUAAAAUUUUCUUCUUUAAUAAUUCUCAAAGUCUCUGCCAAUGAGAUUUAUUGUUAUGGUACAUGAGUGUCAUUUAGAGUUGCUAAGAGUUUAGUCCUAACUGUGAGUAGUGACUACUCGUCACUCUCAUCACCCAUGGAUUAUUAUUUUGCUGUGCUGCUUUAUUUCUGAUCUCAUCAACUUGGACUCGCUGCGGACAAUAUUGUUUCUUUGUUGAUUGUUUAGUGUCAAAUAGCUCUCCUGAGGAUUCAUGUGACCAGUGGACCAAUUCUUUAAGUUCAAAUUUUUUGCUAGUGCAGGUUAAUGCCAAUAAUGUAAAGUUU